GCUCCCUUAGCCCAACCGGUAGAGGCAUCAGACUUAAACCCUGUGCAGUGAAAGUUCGAAUCUUUCAGGGAGUA
rnacentral:tRNA from 1 species